rnacentral:lncRNA from 1 species
UGGUCCCGCCCCACAUCUGGCAGUGGCUGCACAUCUGGGACAGAGCAACACUCCCCCCCCAACCUUCGCCAGCUGCUAAUUUUAAACACGGGACCCCCCCCCCUCGGCCUCCCGCGGGCCCCCGGCCCCGCGCAGGGCCGGGCACGGAACGGGGACCGGGGAACGUGGCACAAGGAACACGGGACACGGGAACACGGGACACGGGAACACGGAAUGCCGAGCACAGCACAUGGCACUGCCAUGACCACGCGUGUGCCCGCACGUGCCCUUGCACACCUGGGCGCGCACACGCGGCCGUGCACACCUGCGCACGCUCGCACACGCGUGUUCACACCCACGCGGGACCGCGACAGGGCCGCGGUGGCCGUGCCAGGCUCCUGUCGGCCCCACGGUGGCCACACUGGCCGUGCCGAGGCUCUGCUGGGAGCGCGGUGGCCGUGCCAGCUCCCGUUUGUCACGAGCAGCCGCGGUAGCCGUGCUGGCUCCCCCGUGAGUCCCGCGGUGGCCCCGCUGGCCCCGCUGGGUGCCUGCGAGGCCGCGGUGGCCGUGUGGGAGCCCUGUGGGCUCGCUGUGGCCCAGGGCUCGGCGAUGCCCUUUCUAGGCAAUGGCAGCAGCCGGGCCAUCGCCCACGCGCCGCCGGCACAUUCCUCCCGCCUGAGUCAGCCCGGCCGGGAGCAGCGGGAGCGGCAGCGGGGCCGAGCGGCCUGGGCACAGCACGGCGGGGCACGGAAUGGCACCGGCGGGGCACGGCAUGGCACUGUCACUGCACGGAAUGGCACCGGCGGGGCACGGAAUGGCACUGUCACUGCACGGAAUGGCACUUACACAACACAGCACGGUGGGGCACGGAAUGGCACUGUCACAGCACGGCAUGGCACUGUCACAGCAUGGCAUGGCACUGACACUGCACGGCAUGGCACUGACACAGCACGGCGGGGCACGGAAUGGCACUGUCACUGCACGGCAUGGCACUGUCACAGCACGGAAUGGCACUGACACAGCACGGCGGGGCACGGAAUGGCACCGGCGGGGCACGGAAUGGCACUGUCACAGCACGGAAUGGCACUGUCACUACAUGGCAUGGCACUGUCACAGCACGGAAUGGCACUGUCACUNNNNNNNNNNNNNNNNNNNNNNNNNNNNNNNNN